rnacentral:tRNA from 1 species
UCCGAUAUGGUCUAGUGGCUAGGAUUUGCCGCUCUCAUUCGAGAGUCAGUUCACUCACAGUGCCGGCAAGGCCCGGGUUCGAUUCCCGGUGUCGGAA